UCUCUUUUUUAGUUAAUAUUGCUUUUAAUGGAUUUAACAGAUGUGUACUUUUCAUUUUUCAGGUAAAAUAAUUUUAUGAAGAACACAAUAUUGUAAAGGGAAAAUACUUGCCAGUGUUACCUGUUCCUUUAAACUGAGGCAGUGCUUUCUCUGUGGCAUGGUAUAACGACCAUUACCAAUGAAAACCUGGGACUGCAUAAACAGGAAGCACCUAAGUAAGGAAGUUCAUUCAUGCCAAGUGGACAAUUGCACUUCAGUUUCCUAUAUUCCUUCACCCAAAUGUGGAAGCACCAUUCUAUCCGGACUCUACAGGUUCUUGGUGCUAAGGAGAAUACAUUAUUUUGUUGUUGGUGUUUCUUGGUGGGCAUGAAUAGAAGGGCUAUGGCAAUUCUACAGAAGCUGUUGGAAAAGAAAUGAAGAAAAAUGAAGUUUAAAAAAGAAGAAAAGUAAAGAUAUGUCUUACUCUGAAGAUGGGCAACCGAAAGAAUGGGAGGACAGAAGUCCCCAUGAAGACAAUGAGCGUGUCUUUCAUAUCUUCUUUUGACUUCAGAACCUGGCUGUGAUUUGACAUUUCUCCAUGAGUGACAGGUCACAUCCUAUUGUCCAGCCUCUUUGCCAUGCCCUAAUCUCUUACCUCAGUCUCUUAAUGUUACAUGCUUGCUUCAAAAAUGGUAAUUCUGGUAUUGGGUGGAGUGAUCUAUAAAUGGCAGUGAGAUUCUGUUAUUGGAUUGUGUUGCUCAGUUCUUCUACUCAAUUUCUGAUUUUCUCCCUAGUCCUUGUAUAAAUUAUUAAGAAAAAUGAAAUCUUCAGCUAUCAUUUCCAAA